UCAUGGACUGUAGCCUACCAGGCUUCUCUGUCUAUGGAAUUUUCCAGGCAAGGAUACUGGAGUGGGUUGCCAUUUCCUUCUCCAGGAGAUCUUCCCAACCCAGGGAUUGAAUCCCAGUCUCCUGCAUUGUAGGAAGAUGCUUUACCACUUGAGCCAUGCGUGGAAUCUAAAAAACAAACAAAAAAAGAAAUGAUAUAAAAUGAAAUUCAUAGCUACAGAGUACAGAUUGGAAGUUGCCACAGGAGACAAGAGUUGGAGAAAGCCUCCAGGAGCAGGCAGAUGGCAUUCUCCUAUUUGCACUAUUCCACUGCAGAGAAGUAAAGUUUAAACUAUCAGCUACCUGCCAUUUCUGGAAUUGCUGCAGAUAAAAACUCUUUGAUGAUUUCAGUUUUCUGCUGCUUGCUUGCAGGCUUACAGAGAAUAAUUGCUACCAUAAGAAGCACUGCUGAAAUUGACAAUAAACUGAAUUUGGCUGGAAGUACAUUGUAAUUCUCUUCUAUAUUGGUGAGCUGCACUGCUGGGACAAGUGUUUGUUUAAAACCGAAACACCAAACAAAACCUUGGCUCUAAU
rnacentral:lncRNA from 1 species